rnacentral:rRNA from 1 species
AUUGAACGCUGGCGGCAUGCUUUACACAUGCAAGUCGAACGGCAGCGCGGGCUUCGGCCUGGCGGCGAGUGGCGAACGGGUGAGUAAUACAUCGGAACGUGCCCAGUAGUGGGGGAUAGCUCGGCGAAAGCCGGAUUAAUACCGCAUACGACCUGAGGGUGAAAGCGGGGGAUCUUCGGACCUCGCGCUAUUGGAGCGGUCGAUGGCAGAUUAGCUAGUUGGUGGGGUAAAGGCCUACCAAGGCGACGAUCUGUAGCUGGUCUGAGAGGACGACCAGCCACACUGGAACUGAGACACGGCCCAGACUCCUACGGGAGGCAGCAGUGGGGAAUUUUGGACAAAGGGCGAAAGCCUGAUCCAGCAAUGCCGCGUGUGUGAUGAAGGCCUUCGGGUUGUAAAGCACUUUUGGCGGGAACGAAAAGGACUGUGCCAAUACCACGGUUCGAUGACGGUACCCGCAGAAUAAGCACCGGCUAACUACGUG